rnacentral:rRNA from 1 species
AUGAACGCUGGCGGCGUGCCUAAUACAUGCAGGUCGAGCGAACAGACGAGGAGCUUGCUCCUCUGACGUUAGCGGCGGACGGGUGAGUAACACGUGGAUAACCUACCUAUAAGACUGGGAUAACUUCGGGAAACCGGAGCUAAUACCGGAUAAUAUAUUGAACCGCAUGGUUCAAUAGUGAAAGACGGUUUUGCUGUCACUUAUAGAUGGAUCCGCGCCGCAUUAGCUAGUUGGUAAGGUAACGGCUUACCAAGGCGACGAUGCGUAGCCGACCUGAGGGGGUGAUCGGCCACACUGGAACUGAGACACGGUCCAGACUCCUACGGGAGGCAGCAGUAGGGAAUCUUCCGCAAUGGGCGAAAGCCUGACGGAGCAACGCCGCGUGAGUGAUGAAGGUCUUCGGAUCGUAAAACUCUGUUAUUAGGGAAGAACAAAUGUGUAAGUAACUAUGCACGUCUUGACGGUACCUAAUCAGAAAGCCACGGCUAACUACGUG